rnacentral:rRNA from 1 species
AGAGGGUGCAAGCGUUGUUCGGAAUUAUUGGGCGUAAAGCGCGUGUAGGCGGCUUGUUAAGUCGGGUGUGAAAGCCCUCAGCUCAACUGAGCAAGGGCGCCCGAAACUGGCGAGCUUGAGUGUCGGAGAGGAUGGCGGAAUACCCCAAGUAGAGGUGAAAUUCGUAGAUAUGGGGUGGAACACCGGUGGCGAAGGCGGCCAUCUGGACGACAACUGACGCUGAGACGCGAAAGCGUGGGGAGCAAACAGGAUUAGAUACCCUGGUAGUCCACGCCGUAAACGAUGAGAACUAGGUGUCGUGGGUGUUGACCCCUGCGGUGCCGUAGCUAACGCAUUAAGUUCUCCGCCUGGGAAGUACGGUCGCAAGACUA